GUUAAAGGGCGAAUUGUCACUACAAGAUGGACCUGCGUUGUAUUAGCUAGUAGUGAGGUAAUGGCUCACCUAGGCGACGAUACAUAGCCGACCUGAGAGGGUGAUCGGCCACACUGGGACUGAGACACGGCCCAGACUCCUACGGGAGGCAGCAGUAGGGAAUCUUCGGCAAUGGGGGCAACCCUGACCGAGCAACGCCGCGUGAGUGAAGAAGGUUUUCGGAUCGUAAAGCUCUGUUGUAAGUCAAGAACGGGUGUGAGAGUGGAAAGUUCACACUGUGACGGUAGCUUACCAGAAAGGGACGGCUAACUACGUGCCAGCAGCCGCGGUAAGACGGAGGAUGCAAGCGUUAUCCGGAAUGAUUGGGCGUAAAGCGUCCGCAGGUGGCAGUUCAAGUCUGCUGUCAAAGACCGGGGCUUAACUUCGGAAAGGCAGUGGAAACUGAACAGCUAGAGUAUGGUAGGGGCAGAGGGAAUUCCUGGUGUAGCGGUGAAAUGCGUAGAGAUCAGGAAGAACAUCGGUGGUCGACGCGGCCG
rnacentral:rRNA from 1 species